rnacentral:rRNA from 1 species
ACGCUCGACACCUACGGGAGCAGCAGUGGGGAAUAUUGCACAAUGGGGGAAACCCUGAUGCAGCGACGCCGCGUGGAGGAAGAAGGUCUUCGGAUUGUAAACUCCUGUUGUUGGGGAAAAAGAGGAUGGUACCCAACAAGGAAGUGACGGCUAACUACGUGCCAGCAGCCGCGGUAAUCUGAGCGGCUGGCAAGGC